CUCUUGAUCUCAUUUCUAGGCUCGGGGCAUCGGUCCAAGAAACUAUUUUAAAGGUGUGUUGGGGGAGGGGUGGGAAAACAAUGGCAUAGAGUCGUAGAGUUCUGGAUCAGGUGUGGGGCACGGGGCCAAGGGGAGGGACGUUGUGGAGAAAUAAGAUGAGGUGGAGCCAAGAACAAGUGUGUGCAGGGGUUCGGGCAGAGCUCAGGGGAGCUGGGAGUCCAUACCUAAUGGCAUCUGUGUUCUCAAUGACAGGUUGGCAUCUGUUGAGUCGAAGGAGCCAGGGGGUGAAGGCUGAGACUGAUGAAGAUUCAGACUCCUCUGAUGAAAUCAAUGGGGAAAGAGGCCAACUCUGUUUAUGUGGAAGAAUUGCUGAGCAGUCCUGAGGGCCCGGCUGAAAUUAGAAUCACGCAUUUACAGUGGAACCAGACAGGAUGGUGAUUGCCUCUAAAAAUCUCAGUAGGGGAAGAUCCAGGAAAAAGAAACAUGAAGAUGGAGGAAACAUGAUGGAGCCAGGCCAUGGAGCAAGUGGAAGGAGCAAGGGAUCAGUACUGAAACACAGCACUGGGAACUCAGCGACAGUGUGGAGCUUACAUUCCAAAGGGGGAAACAAGGAAAUUCUCUUUAAACAAGAAAUGUCACAUCAUGUACAAAGGGACAUAUAAAAGUGCUCCUGGAUGAUGUUCGUGAUGUUUUAAAUACUUCACAAGAAUACAACAUCAAAGAAUAGCAUGUUGAUAAGGAUUCUAUUUGGAAUUAAUGACUGACUAAUGACGCCAGAAUGCUGUACCAGGAAAACUCACUAAAACUCAUACCCAGACAGAGAAGAAAAGGGAUAUGGAAGGAUGAGACUGUGCCCCAAAUGAAUUUUCUCCCAGACAGAGGAGCAGGCACAACUGGGCAACGUCAGAGCAGACGGAGGAAAUUCCCACAAUGCUGUGUUGCUAGACAGCAUCCCCAAGUGCGUCACCGGUUGCUGGAGCCACCUUUUGUCUUUCCCCAACCCCUUUACUGGUUACCAGGACUUCCUUCUUGUGGAUUCCAGGUACCUGGUGUAUUGGGAGCAAUAAGCCUCAGAGAAGAUGCACCUCCUGUUUGGGAGUGUAAUGCUAUGAAAUAGCACACUUAGGAAUGGAAGCUCAUAAGAAUCAACAUAAAUAAAUACAGAAGCCAAAUUUCAUUUAUGACCUAGCAUCAGAAAUUACAUGCCAAUGUAUCUGUAAUAUUGUAUUGAUUACAUGGAUCAUCUUUACUUGUUGUAGGAGGGGACAUGACAGUGAGGAGGUGAGCCUCAUGGAGGGCCAUUCUGGGGGGCUAACUACCACCCAACAGAUUAUCUUUUUUCAAAGACAUUCAUUAGUUUUGGCCCUUUUGACUUCAACCUACAGAAAUACUUCCUCCAGAACUGACAAGUUUAUGCAAUUGUCUGCCUUCAUUCUCUUCCUCCAGAGUGGUAGCACCCAUGUGAUGACUGUAGGGCCUUGACUGGAAAGAUUAAUAUUGUUAUCAUGAAAAAAAAAAUCUACCAAGUAACUCAAGCCCAUGAAUAAUCUCUGUGCUCUGAAAGAAAGCCUUUCUUUCUUCUCAAUGCAAACAAGCAAACAAUAACAAAUAACUUCUGCCUGGGUUUCAGCCAAAUACUUUAAGACUUGAGAUCUGGGGAGAAACUGACUUUAUAUGGGUAAAGGAGGAAUGCCAUAUUCUCCACUUCCUUAACAAAGUCUCUUGAGUAGUAUCUCUUCUCCAUUACACAUAGUUAAUGGAUAAUCAAGGUUCUGAAGCUGAUGAAAUUGAUACAUUUUACACAGUAGUGGACACAAUUUCAAAACUGUUGGCCAAGUUUUAGAUGUGAGUGCAUGCCAAUGCCAAAAGCAAUGAGACACAAUGGUAUGUUGUGUUUCGUUAUUUGCCAAAGAAGCCAAACCAAGUUGAUGCCAAGCAUAGCAUGUGCUUCAUCAGUUCAACAAGUACAGUACCAAAAUUUUGCAUCCAGAUCAGACCUUUGUUUGGCAAAGAAACUUUUAGCAAUUUGGGAGAUGUCAAUGGCCUCUGAGGUUCCAAAAGGGACUCACAAUACAAGAGUUCUCUUGUAUCGGAGUAUACUUAAUGGACAAAAGCCAAGAGUUAGAUGCAUUGAAAGAUGUCAGUAACUGUCUUCAAGGGCAAUGGCGUAUUAGCCAAAUCUUCCAUGACAUUCGUCAAAUGGCUAAAAGAAAUGAUUGAAAGAACUGCUGGUGAUUCUGGAAUAGAUGACUUUAUAUGUCAGGGAUACAGUUUCAAUAUUCCUUCUCUCAUCCAAACUAGAAGCCUUUUAAAUAUUUUCCAGGACACUUGGUUUCAUAAUUGUAUGUGGCUUCUUUUCCUUAGAAAUACUAAAAGCAGCUUUGAUAGACGCAUGAAAACAAUGUUUUUUGUGUUUAUAGAGGCACAGCCACAUUUUGGUAAGGUUCCAGCCAAAAAUAUCUAGCUUGCCUGAUGUGCUGAGAGGAUGGACAGUUUAAUGGGAUUUGUAUUUCCACUGGGAGGAUCUGGGCCACAUAAGAACUCUGUGGCUUUUGUAUCCCAUGAUGGUCAGUAGUAAAAGUAGAAACAAAGAUGCAGAAGACUUAAUCAGUUGUUUCUUUUCCAUGACAUUUCCCCCAACUUAACUUGGGCCUGAUUAAAAAGGCAGAGAUGCCAGGAUAUAUUUCCUUUCAUUAUUAUCUAUAGGAAACUAAUCUCAUUGCUGUAUCAUGGGGGUGAUGACGAUUUUUGCCUUACAUGACCAUGUUCCAUAGCAUUGUUUGCAUUUAUGAGAAGCAAAAUGGUACCAUAACAACAAGGUUGAUAUUAAACAUGAUUUUUAAAAAAAAAUAAAAGCAACUAUCAAAGCCAUUGAAAGGCAAAACAACAGAAAAAUAAUAUUCUCUCAAGGCUCAUCCAUGAAUUCUGUUAAGGACUGAAUGUGUCCCUCCAAAAUUCGUUUGUUGAAACCCUGCCACAGGUGGGACCUGUGGGAGGUAAUUAGGGUUAGAGAUGACAUCAUGAGGGUGAAGCCCUCAUGAAUGGGAUUAGUUCCCUUAUAAGAGUUGUGAUCAUCCCCUCUCUGCU